UUAGCCCUAUAGCCCCAGCAUAGAUCGGAGUAUAUAUGGGACGGACAAUUGCUUACACAGACUUUCCAGGCCAGGAGAGUGGAUCUAUUGUGGGAGUUUUUGAGUCCUUCCCGUGUUCUACAUCCCAGCGUGGUCCAUUACCUGGAGGAGAUGGGAUUAUAUAGGAUUAUUAGGAUUGGCCGGAUACAACUCUACUAUGCUUUGAUCACGACCUUGAUUGUGCGGUGGCGACCGAAGACGCACACUUUCCAUUUGCCCAUUAGCGAGGCCACCAUCACACUCCAGGACGCUGAGAUUUUAUAUGGCCUGUCCGCUGAUGACUUGCUAGUUUUACUGCCUGCGACCAUAAGAUAUUAUUCGCGGCAGGCAUAUUGGGAUAUGUUGCACAUGCUCACGGGUUUCAUGCCGGAGGACAAGGAGGUAGCGUCUGGAUCCAGUCGUAUACAGUUGGUCCCCAUUAGAGACCACAUGGUGCAGAUCCACCAUACUAUCAUCGACGAGUUAGCGAAGGUGGAUGUACAACAAUAUACGAGGCUGUUGUUGCUCCUUUUAUUUGGGGGGUUUUUGUUUCCGAACACUUCGGGGAACCUAGUGAGCCUACGUUUUCUGCAUCAUAUUGUCCGGUUCAAGGAUACAACCAUCUACAGCUGGGGUGGUGCUAUCAUCUCAUAUCUGUACAGGCAGAUGUGUCGGGCUUGCAUCGGCACAUAAAGAGACGUUGGUGGCUUUCUGCCGCUUCUACAGUUUGGGUCUGGGAGCGAUUUCUGCAGUUUCGGCCACCUCUACCACAACUACCGGCUUAUGUAGAAUUUCCGCAACUCCCUCUAGCCUGUAGGUGGGUUAUGCGUCGUACUGUUGCACGAGAGUAUGAUGCCCAUCAUAAUCUCCCCCUCUGCAGGGAUGUGUUAGAUCUGCUGCAGGAUGCACAGUUCAUUUGAACGCCGUACAUCGAUGAGAUGAUAGGUACCCUGCCAGCGUAUUGCACGUUCAGCCGACAUAUUUGGAGGGCUUCUGUCCCGCUCAUAUGCCUCGAUAUUGUCGAGCAUCAUGCCUCCGAGCGGGUAUUUCGUCAGUUUGGCCUGCCGCAGCCUAUAUCGACUCUGCCUACAUGGCAUGCUUUACAUUAUGAGAGGGAUGAUCGGUCCAGGGCGGACGACACAUUGAUGGCAUGGCUUAACGAGCAGUUGGGUAUUUGGGACAGGCGAGGGGACUUGACCCCACCUCCGCAGCACUUUCCUAUUUAACGUUAUAUGGCAUGGUACCACACUGUUUCCCUACUUUUUAUCGGGAACCCAGUUCAUCAGGCACACGGUCGGUACGUCCCAUACACUGGGAGACACGAGGCCUUGGCGAUUGGAUUGCAUACCGUCUAUCAUAUGGGGCAGCAGAUGCAGAGUCAUGUCCACGAUCCUGUGGCCAUGUAGGAGUAUAGUCGUAGAUUCAUAGAUGUGGCUGGCCAGACACUACAGCAAGCCCUAUCGGAUCAGAGUUUGGCACACGAGGCUGAUUAUAUGGACCCAGCACAGUACCAUCGAGGUCGUGGUAUCCCACGAGCUGGUAUGCUUGACGAGCUGGUGGUGCUGGACGACGUGGUCAUGGGUGGAGAGGAUAUGGUCCCCAGCAAGGGGGUGUUGAGGCUCCUGCUGAUGAUGUUGCUGCUGAUAUGGUAGGUGGCAUGCAUGAGACGGACAUGCCGUCUUACAGCCUUGGAAUUUAUCGCACUCCAGUGCCA